CUUGUCUUUCACAGGUCCUGGGAACGAGAUGGUAAAUGCCCUGCAGAUAUGACUUUAAUUGUGCUUGACUUACCUGUUCAAGCUUCCCAGUAACAACAGCAAAUAUUGUUACAAUCUAUAAGACAACAACAUAGAAAUAGAACGCUUUAUUGCCGACCAAUCAAAACAGAAACAUGGUUUCUUAGAAAAUAUCAGAGAAGUUUAAAGUUGGCAGAAAGACCCUGGAUCAAUCGUCCUUCAAUCUUUAUAGAAAUUAGGUAAUUUUUUUUGUCAGGAAGUACCUGGCGCUGCCUUACCUUUACGAGUUAAAGUGCUCACGAACCCCAAAGUCUCUUAUCUAGUGCCGGAUUGAUCUGCCACCUCCAACGUCCACCUGCUGAAAAGUUUCAAAAUGGAAGCCUAGAACUUUCGCGAGCAGGGACGCCAAUAAGUGGGUUAGAGAGGUCAGCUGACGUUUUCAGACAAUCAGUCCCUCUCCAUUCGCAAAACAGCUUGAGAAACGUAUGUACGUUAGUAGUCAUCUCCUG